ensembl:lncRNA
GGAAGACGUGAGCUUGUUGGUUAAAAAUGGGGGGGGAUGGUUUGUUAAAGAAGAAUGGUAGAAAGUGUAAGCGGAGUGAGCUGAAGACAGGAGGAGAAAAGGAAGUGAAUGAGGGCGAAGUAUCAGAGGUGGUAGGUGUGGUGAAGUUCUCAGAGCCCAAGGCUUGCACCGAGGGUCAGGUUAAAGAUGAGUCACAGAAGUGAAGUAUUUGGAAAAGUGGACCUUGUCUUUUGUCCGAUCCAUUUGUGGUUUCAGCUUGGGUGAAAACAGAGUUGGGUGCUGUGGAAUCGGUGAAGUGGUCUUGUGAUAAUUGUUUGUGUAACUGUUGGUCAGAGGGAGAAGGUGCUCUGCGUUAAACAAAUGGGGGCAAGAAAUGUGAAUUGUUUCACUCUCAAGAAAAGGGUGCCAUUGAAAGGAGUGAUUUACUGGGGUAGCAGUAAAUGUAAAAGUUGACCAACUGAAGGGAAAGAAUCCAGGUGUCUGAUGCUCAUCGUUUGGUGCGACGCAGACAGGUUGGCGAGAGUGGUGAAACAAGUCAUUUUUCUGUUCUUUUGAGUUUUGAUGUUGAGUCUUUGCCCGACAAAGUGAUGUUAGGAUAGAUAAGUUAUCCUGUACGAGCUUUUGUGCCGAAUACAUUACGUUGUUACAGGUGUCAAGCUUAUGGGCAUGUGGCAGCAGUGUGUAGGAGGGAGGCUCUUAGGUGUGAGAAGUGUGCUGAAGAGCAUGAGACAAAGGAAUGUGUAGCAUCGGGGAAAGUAGUGGUAUGUGUUAAUUUUAGGGGUGCCUAUAUGGGGCUGGGGAUCAGAAAUGUCCCGUGCAAGAGAGGCAGGUUGAGGUUUCCAGGGUUCGAGUAGUGCAGAAGUUGUCAUAUGCUGAGGCAGUGUAGAGAGUAGAGGAAGAUGAGUCAAGGGGGAGGUAUCCUGAAAGGAGUGGUGUGAGUAGUAGAUCUGUACCAGUACAAAGAGAUAGACCAACAAGUGAUGCAUGUUUCAGAAAGAUUGAAUUUCAAGCAUUUAUAGCUAUGGUUAUCAACUGUACUACAGGGUUGGAGCGUAAGUCGCAGAAAAUUGAGGUUGUGGUUGCAGCUGCAGAGGUAUUUGGGUUUGCGAGACUUGACAUCAGAAGAGUUACAGGGUGUGUUAAGUGUGGUGAUGUCCCAUCCUUUCAGGUUGUUGGCAAAUAUAUUUAAAUAGUGAAGUAGGGUGGUGGUAUUUUUUUGUUUAGUGUUGUGUUAGAUGGUAGGGUAUUUGUUUAUGUAUUUCAAGCAAGGUAUAAGGAAGUUAUACUCCAGUCUAGUAGGUGGCGGUAAUGCAACAUAUUGGAUGCCAACUGCCUUUAAAACUCAGCGAAGAGGAAAAAUACUAUGACGGAAGCAAAUGGACUCGUGAAACAACCAGCAAACCAAGCUGUCUUGUGAAACAUUGGAUGUAAAGAAUCUAGCUAGCUAGCUAAAGCAUUUACUGCAAAUUGAUUGUACAAUUUUGUAAGCUUGCCUUGCUGAUAUUUGCCAUGUAAUCCAUCUGAAGUAACAUAGCAAGCUAACUAUUUUGUUGCUUAUUGUGCAGUGGAGGAUUAAAAUACCUGUAUGACUAUGGAUGUGUAGCUAGCUAUGUAGGCGAUCUGUGUAUUGACCCUAAAACGUUUGGUAUAUUAGUUCAGAACCUAGCUAUGAACAUAGCUAGCCAAUUGUAUCAACUUCAUUCAUGACGCCUAUGGAUUGAGUAGAAUAUAAUAGAACGUUGUGCCAAGGAUGCUAGUCGAAUAUACAUGUAGUUAUUACCAUACAUGAUAUCCCGACAUUGUAGCCUGUACAUUUGAUAUAUUCACUGAUCAUGUACUCUACUUUGGCAAAUAAAGGUGCAG